UACGUAGGUGGCGAGCGUUGUCCGGAUUUACUGGGCGUAAAGAGCGCGCAGGCGGUCGUUCAAGUCGCGUGUGAAAGCCCCCGGCUCAACUGGGGAGGGUCACGCGAUACUGAUCGACUCGAAGGCAGGAGAGGGAAGUGGAAUUCCCGGUGUAGUGGUGAAAUGCGUAGAUAUCGGGAGGAACACCAGUGGCGAAGGCGACUUCCUGGCCUGUUCUUGACGCUGAGGCGCGAAAGCUAGGGAGCAAACGGG
rnacentral:rRNA from 1 species